rnacentral:rRNA from 1 species
UACGAAGGGGGCUAGCGUUGUUCGGAAUCACUGGGCGUAAAGCGCACGUAGGCGGAUCUUUAAGUCAGGGGUGAAAUCCCGAGGCUCAACCUCGGAACUGCCUUUGAUACUGGGGAUCUCGAGUCCGGGAGAGGUGAGUGGAACUGCGAGUGUAGAGGUGAAAUUCGUAGAUAUUCGCAAGAACACCAGUGGCGAAGGCGCUCACUGGCCCGGAACUGACGCUGAG